GAUGAAGAACGCAGCGAAAUGCGAUAAGUAAUGUGAAUUGCAGAAUUCAGUGAAUCAUCGAAUCUUUGAACGCACAUUGCGCCCGCCAGUAUUCUGGCGGGCAUGCCUGUUCGAGCGUCAUUUCAACCAUCAAGCCCCCGGCUUGUGUUGGGGACCUGCGGCUGCCGCAGGCCCUGAAAACCAGUGGCGGGCUCGCUGUCACACCGAGCGUAGUAGAUUUUCAUCUCGCUCAGGGCGUGCUGCGGGUUCCGGCCGUAAAAAGCCUUAUUUACCCAAGGUUGACCUCGGAUCAGGUAGGAAUACCCGCUGAACUUAAGCAUAUCAAUAAGCGGAGGA
rnacentral:misc_RNA from 1 species